rnacentral:rRNA from 1 species
AGUGAACGCUGGCGGUAGGCCUAACACAUGCAAGUCGAACGGCAGCACAGUAAGAGCUUGCUCUUACGGGUGGCGAGUGGCGGACGGGUGAGGAAUACAUCGGAAUCUACUUUUUCGUGGGGGAUAACGUAGGGAAACUUACGCUAAUACCGCAUACGACCUACGGGUGAAAGCAGGGGAUCUUUGGACCUUGCGCGAUUGAAUGAGCCGAUGUCGGAUUAGCUAGUUGGCGGGGUAAAGGCCCACCAAGGCGACGAUCCGUAGCUGGUCUGAGAGGAUGAUCAGCCACACUAGAGCUGAGACACGGUCCAGACUCCUACGGGAGGCAGCAGUGGGGAAUGUUGGACAAUGGGCGCAAGCCUGAUCCAGCCAUACCGCGUGGGUGAAGAAGGCCUUCGGGUUGUAAAGCCCUUUUGUUGGGAAAGAAAAGCAGCAGGUUAAGACCCCGCUGUUCUGACGGUACCCAAAGAAUAAGCACCGGCUAACUUCGUG